AAAGAAAAUCAAAUUCUCAAAUAUAAAUAUAUGAAUAAAAAUGUUAAAUAUUAUUAUUGUUAGGUGGAUAACUGUUCAACUGCAGUUGCCAUUGAAUUUAAUAGCACAAGAUUUUGCCGUAAAACAGAGAAAAGUGUCAAGAACGGCCACAUUCCCCACACAAAGUGCCUUAAUUGAAAAUUUUAAAUUAAUAAAUUCGAUAAAAACUGAAGUGAUGAGUGCAUCAUUAAAACGUUCAAGUGCGCGAGAUAUAUUUGAUGCACAAUGUAAAAAAUAUAAGGAAACAUUACAUUCAGUGCAGUUCGGGUAAAUGCGUAGGCAUUUGAUUCAUAUAAAACAAGAAAAAUAUCCAAAAACUCCGAUGACUUUUGAAGAAAUUAUUGAAGUUUAUAAAAAUAAAGAAAUUGCAUCAAAAUUCAUAAUGUCCAGAUAUGAGGAAAAUGACAAACUUUAUAUUGACACUAUAGUAGAAGAAAAUUUUGCCUAUUCAUUAUUUGUGUAUCCUACCAUUUCUAAUGCCAUUAAAGGAAGGAACCACAUGGAACAAUGUAAUUAUAUAGUUGAUGGAACAUUUAAAAUAGUACCUAUUUCAAACAAAUAUAAGCAAUUGCUCAUAAUUCACAUUAUUCACGCAGACCAUGCAUAUCCGUUCAUAUUUAUUUUAAUGUCUCAUAAGUCAGAAUCUGCAUAUAAAAAUUUUUUGCAAUAUUUGCAAUCAAAUGUCAUCGAUUUGAAGCCGACGUCAGUAAUCACUGAUUUUGAAUGCAGUUUACGUAAUGCUUUUAAAAGAGUAUACCCAACAGUAAAAACGGUUGAAUGUUGGUUUCACUACACGAAUGCUCUUCGACGGAAAGAUACACAAAUUCCUAAAUUCAACAGAGAUAAAAAUGCCAAAAACCUAUUUCCCAAAUUUAUGUAUCUACCAUUAUUGAAACCGGCUAAUAUUAUAGAAGCAUAUAGCAUUUUAAAACAAGAUGCUAUGGAUGUAAAAUUUGUUAAUCCAUCAAAUAAUACAGAAAACUUCUUUAAACUAUUUAUAAAUUUCUUCGAGCGACAAUGGAUGAAAAAAUUUAGAGAAAACUAAAUUACAUAUACAUAUAUAAUUUUAUGAAAUUUUAUUGUUUUAGGAAAACCCUGUAAACUUUUCAGUGUAUAAAGAACCUGUCAGGACAAGUAAUUCUGCUGAAGGUUUCCAUGUCAAAUUGAAUAUGAAACUUCCAAAGCGAGGCACGUUUUACAACUUCCUAGAAACCCUUUUCGAAUUAGAAUUUGUAAAAUCCAUGGAUUAUUGAAAAUCUAUUUCUGGUUGUACGAAUCUAUAUAGAUCAAAAACAUUCGGCAAUGGAGUUCGCGACAAAUUUAUUUAAAACGGCUAGACUUAUUAAAAAACAAUAAAAUAUCUUUGAUGGAAAUUCUCAGUCAGGAUGGAAAACUGCAUACUUGCAGAAAAAUUCGUCAAUAAAAUCCAUAGUUCCGAUGAUGAUUAUAAAGACGACGACGACAUCGACAGUAAUGAAGAUGAAAAUUGUAAAGAUCAUUUACAAACGCAACAAAAUAUGACAUUGUUAUGCGUAAUUUGCUGCGAAAGGGAAAGGGAACUCUUGUUCGACACAUGUCAUCAUUAUAAACUUUGUCAAACAUGCUUUCAAAAAAUGAAAGAAAAUGGCAAAUUAAAGGGCGUACAAACAUUGUGUCCAAUUUGUCGCAGUAUAAUAAAAAAAAAAGCAAAACAAAUAUUUUGUUAGUAAUACAAUUAAACUCAUAUGUUAUUAUAUACCUAGAACCGUAUUGGAAUAGUGUUUAAUUUUU